rnacentral:rRNA from 1 species
GAGUUUGAUCUUGGCUCAGAACGAACGCUGGCGGCAUGCCUAAAACAUGCAAGUCGAACGGGUGUAGCAAUACACCAGUGGCAGACGGGUGCGUAACACGUGGGAACCUACCCAGAGGUUCGGAAUAGCUGCGGGAAACUGCAGGUAAUACCGAAUGUUGCCUGAGGGCUAAAGGAGCAAUCCGCCUUCGGAGGGGCCCGCGUCCGAUUAGCUAGUUGGCGAGGUAACGGCUCACCAAGCCAACGAUGGGUAGCUGGUCUGAGAGGAUGAUCAGCCACACUGGAACUGACACACGGUCCAGACUCCUACGGGAGGCAGCAGUGGGGAAUAUUGCGCAAUGGAGGAAACUCUGACGCAGCGACGCCGCGUGGGUGAUGAAGGCCUUC